CGCCGGAAUGAUGAUCAAUAUUCACGUAUCACUGGCAUGGAUGCCAGUGAAAGCGCUGUAGUACAUGGAUGUACGUUCAGCGCUGGUACGUCGAGAAUAUUGAGCAUCAU
rfam:Colwellia sp. PAMC 21821, complete genome.